AGAGUUUGAUCCUGGCUCAGAACGAACGUUGGCGGCGUGCUUAACACAUGCAAGUCGAACGAGAAAGUUCCUUCGGGAAUGAGUAAAGUGGCGCACGGGUGAGUAACGCGUAAGUAAUCUACCUUUGCAUUUGGAAUAACUACGGGAAGCUGUAGCUAAUACCAAAUACGUUCAUAUAGUUACGACUAUAUGAAGAAAGAUGGCCUCUUCUUGAAAGCUAUCGUGCAGAGAGGAGCUUGCGUACCAUUAGCUCGUUGGUAGGGUAAUGGCCUACCAAGGCAACGAUGGUUAGCGGGUCUGAGAGGAUGAUCCGCCACACUGGAACUGGAACACGGACCAGACUCCUACGGGAGGCAGCAGUGAGGAAUAUUGCGCAAUGGGGGAAACCCUGACGCAGCGACGCCGCGUGGAUGAUGAAGGCCUUAGGGUCGUAAAAUCCUGUCAGGNGGGAAGAAAUGUAUGAGGGAACAACACCCCUUGUGCUUGACGGUACCACCANAGGAAGCACCGGCUAACUCCGUGCCAGCAGCCGCGGUAAUACGGAGGG
rnacentral:rRNA from 1 species